GUUUGUUUUUCAGUUGGAACAUCCAAAAGUACUUUCAAGUUGUAUGUAACUUUGUGCCAUUAUGUUUGGCAAAUUAAAAACCACAUUCAUACAACCCACUUUUUGCUCCAAACCAACUUUCAUCUCAACUCUCCAAAUUGUAACUUCUACAUUCAUUCAACAUACUUUCAACCCCAAACUCUAUUUUGAAAUAAAAAUAUCCAAACAUAAAUCACAUUACAACAAACCCACUUUGACCCAAACUCUGUUUUGUAAACCCACAUUCACCCAAACUUUGUUUUGCAAACUGAAAUCCAAACACACACCUCAUCUCAUGUUCAGGGGCGGACCCACAUAGCAGUGAGGGGCCUGAAAAAAGAAAAAUUUCUACUUACCCCCUUGUAUUGUUUCUUUUUUGAACCCCCUGAGAAUUUCAAUUUGCACCCAUGACCCUGCUUACACCUCUCUCACACACUCACAGACUUACGCCCCUCACCCAGUCUUUCUCUCACUAGGUGUGUAGGUCUGGCCGUCAACAAGCACACGCAUGAGCAGUCGAGCACGGCGCACCACCAGCCACCAGUCCACCACCGUCGCGCGCCUCUCAAUCUCUGUAUCUCACGAGAAGGCCACUCUUAGUGCUCUGCGUUGCUAGUGUUGGGAAUCUGCACUCAAGGAGUCAAGAAAAGGGGCAUGAUGAAAUUGGGCACACCAAUUGUUUGAUGAAAGGCACCAGUGAAAUAUAGCUUUCUGGACAAUGAAGGGAUCUUUUUUUGUGGAAGAGUUGCCUGCCUGGUUAGCUGAGAGUGACAUAGAGAUCAAGGCCAUUACACAGCAAUGGCUGGAUAAACUGUUCAUGAUAAAAUAUGAAGGAGUUGCAGAGAGUUUUGGUAGAGAUUUUACUGCAAGAAACUACAAUAAUAUACUGUUUGUUGCAGAACAACUAAGACAUUUUGAUGAACAGAUGGAAACAUGGAGAAGAGAAUUUCAAAUGUUACAAGAUGAAGGAGAUGAAGAAGGUUUUGAAGAGUUAUAGAAGAGCAUACAAACUUCGCCACGGCGUGGCUAGCCUUAAAAGGAAACGUUUCAAACCCAGGAAGGGUCUAAACUCAGCAUUUUUUUUUUCUUUUGAUCAAAUAAACUCAGCAUUUGAAUUCAUUAAUACAUCCAAAACUUGGUUACACAAUGCUUUCCUUUCCUAGAAGUGUUAGUGUAAAUCAUUGAUGGAUAUUUGAAUAAAUAUGCUCACCUAUGAAUGAGAUUGCAGUAUAA